rnacentral:rRNA from 1 species
GUGGGGAAUUUUGGACAAUGGGCGCAAGCCUGAUCCAGCAAUGCCGCGUGCAGGAAGAAGGCCUUCGGGUUGUAAACUGCUUUUGUACGGAACGAAACGGUCCUGGUUAAUACCUGGGGCUAAUGACGGUACCGUAAGAAUAAGCACCGGCUAACUACGUGCCAGCAGCCGCGGUAAUACGUAGGGUGCAAGCGUUAAUCGGAAUUACUGGGCGUAAAGCGUGCGCAGGCGGUGAUGUAAGACAGAUGUGAAAUCCCCGGGCUCAACCUGGGAACUGCAUUUGUGACUGCAUUGCUGGAGUGCGGCAGAGGGGGAUGGAAUUCCGCGUGUAGCAGUGAAAUGCGUAGAUAUGCGGAGGAACACCGAUGGCGAAGGCAAUCCCCUGGGCCUGCACUGACGCUCAUGCACGAAAGCGUGGGGAGCAAACAGGAUUAGAAACCCGAGUAGUCC